rnacentral:lncRNA from 1 species
UUAUUAAAGAUUAAAGGUUUGGGGUUAUAAUAUAUGGUUAUAGUUUGAGAUAUAGUUAGGGUUCAAAGUGUGAUAGAAAUUUAUUUUAUUUAAAAUUCAUUAUAUGUGUUAAAUUUUCUUUUGACAUAUUACUAUAAUUUACUUUAAAAAGUUUAGGAUUUAAGAUUUUAAUUUACUAAAAAUUAUGGUUUAGGGUAUAGUUAGGGAUUACAAUUUUCUACGAAUAGCUACAAAACAUGUUGUGGUUAUAUAUUUCUGCGAAAAUCUUUGUGGCUAAUAGUUGGUUUUGAUUUCUACGAUUUAUUUUGUAGCUAAUUGUAAUUCAAUUUCUUCAAAUAUCCACAAAUUAUAUUUUGUAGCUAUU